GGGAACCGCUCGCGGGCUGCAGCCAACACAGAGGGUGCAACGCGGGGGGUGCGGGGGGGGGAGGCGGAGGCCGAGGCUGGGGGAGGGGAUGCGGGAUCAGCGGAGAAGGCGAGCGAACAUUUGCACCUGGUUCAAUGCAGACCCUUGUUCCCCGGGUCGGAAAGGAUGGAGCGAGGGUCGCCUCUUUAUCGUUGUCCAGAAUCAGAGGACAGUUCUGAGGCUCAGGAACAGGAGAAACAGGAAUUUGAAGACAGGAACAAGCGUUCUGUUUUGCCCUUGGAGAGCUGCUGACAACAAACAGAGUGGAGCUGAGAAUCAGUGCCAUAAAACAGUAGGAUGCUAA
rnacentral:lncRNA from 1 species